rnacentral:rRNA from 1 species
UGGGGAAUAUUGCGCAAUGGGCGAAAGCCUGACGCAGCAACGCCGCGUGCGGGAUGAAGGCCUUCGGGUUGUAAACCGCUUUCAGUGGGGACGAAAACAGACGGUACCCACAGAAGAAGCCCCGGCCAACUACGUGCCAGCAGCCGCGGUAACACGUAGGGGGCGAGCGUUGUCCGGAUUUAUUGGGCGUAAAGAGCUCGUAGGCGGCUCGGUAAGUGAGGUGUGAAAACUCCAGGCUCAACCUGGAGACGCCACCUCAUACUGCCGUGGCUAGAGUCCGGUAGGGGAGCAUGGAAUUCCUGGUGUAGCGGUGAAAUGCGCAGAUAUCAGGAGGAACACCAGUGGCGAAGGCGGUGCUCUGGGCCGGAACUGACGCUGAGGAGCGAAAGCGUGGGGAGCAAACA